AUGAUUUAGGAACUCGUUUGGUUU
rnacentral:snRNA from 1 species